GGGGCUGUAGUGUAGCUUGGCUAUCACUAAUGGUUUGGGACCAUUGAACCCCGGUUCGAAUCCGGGCAGCCCCA
rnacentral:tRNA from 1 species